rfam:Arthroderma gypseum CBS 118893 supercont1.2 genomic scaffold, whole genome shotgun sequence.
GGCCGCGUGGCCUAAUGGUUAGGGCGUCGGAUUUCGGUUCCACCCAUCGUAAAACUAUGGGUUCCCUACCUCCGAAGGAUGUGCGUUCGAAUCGCAUCGUGGUCG